UUGUAGUUUCCUCCAUUCACUGUAGGUCUUGUCGCAAUACAAGUGGCCUGACAAACUAAAGGUUGAUUUUGUGUAUGGUGAGAUCAGACAAGCAAUAUAACUCCUCUUAUCGCAAUACAAGUGGCGUGACUCUAGAUUUUGUGUAUGCUGCAGCUGGGAAAAAGCUGUGUCAGUAUCCUGGUUUUUGCUCUGGUAAUGACCCAGCGGUAAUGUACCCUUAGCUCUUGUGUUUUUCUUUGUCUAUUUGUCUGCCAGCCACUGACUUGCUAGUA